GCUAGCUCAAAUAUAUAUAUUCGUUAGUAGCUCAAUUCUCCAUCCUCUCACAAUAUCCUUCUUAAAUUCAUCAAGUUCAUUCAUGUGCGUAUAGCAGCGCUCAAUCUCAGUCCCCUCGGUUCUCCUCUGGUCACUGUUAAUUACCUCCAACGUACAAUGGAAUAUCCUAAGAAAUGCUACGAGUGGUUCACAGGACUCCUAAGGCCUCAUGAUCAACAAACUGAACAUCCUCCGCCAACGACACCGAACGUGCAGAAACAAGCUGGAAAUCCUUCUCAAACCAAGCUCGGGGAAGAUGAAAGACCCCAAUACCAGAAACAGUAUACAGUUAAAGAUAAUGAAGUUAACGAAAACAAGGGAAACGGCAACGGAACUUUCGCUGUGGGUGACACGUCUAUCUCAAAGGAAGAUGACAAACCUCAAUACCAGAAGAACUACGUAGUUUCUGGUAAUAAAGUUGAUAGAAACGUGGGACACGGCAAUGGAGCUUUCACUGUGGGCGACCGGGAGGGGUAUAUGAUCGAUCCACAUCGACAAAGUAAACAUAGCGCAUAAAUGAUUUUAAUCAAGCAAGAGUACAUCAUCAAUCCAAAUAAAGUAUGAUUAGAUAAAGAUCUUGGUUACGCCUUGGGAUGGCACCUUCUAGCUAGCUAGCUAGAGUGACCCUCCCUUGGUGCAUCCUGGCAAACAACAAGAUUAUCCAAGUAAUUAAAUUACUCUCUUCAACCUAAAAUAAAAGAGAGACCCUCCCGUGGUGCAUCCUGGCAAACAAUAAGAUGAUCCAAAUAAUUAAAUUCUACUCUCUUCGACCCAAAAUAAAAGGAAAAAUAACGCUUAGAUUGAUAUAUAUGAUAUGUGUGUGUGUGUUAUAUUGUAGUAUAUGUAAUGACUUAAUAGUUGAGUCUCAGUGGGUGAGUCAUUAUUGUGACUGAUAUUUUAGAGGUUGAAGAUAAUUAAUCGCAAGGAAAAUUUGUAAUACUUUAGAGGUUGAAGAUAAACUAGUUUUUUAUGGUAAUUAUAUAAGGGGGGUUAUAUUCACACCCCUUUUUUACUCUUUGA